GACGAACGCUGGCGGCGUGCCUAAUACAUGCAAGUAGAACGCACAGUUUAUACCGUAGCUUGCUACACCAUAGACUGUGAGUUGCGAACGGGUGAGUAACGCGUAGGUAACCUGCCUGGUAGCGGGGGAUAACUAUUGGAAACGAUAGCUAAUACCGCAUAAUAUUGAUUAUUGCAUGAUAAUUGAUUGAAAGAUGCUAUUGCAUCCCUACCAGAUGGACCUGCGUUGUAUUAGCUAGUAGGUGAGGUAACGGCUCACCUAGGCGACGAUACAUAGCCGACCUGAGAGGGUGAUCGGCCACACUGGGACUGAGACACGACCCAGACUCCUACGGGAGGCAGCAGUAGGGAAUCUUCGGCAAUGGACGAAAGUCUGACCGAGCAACGCCGCGUGAGUGAAGAAGGUUUUCGGAUCGUAAAGCUCUGUUGUAAGAGAAGAACGGGUGUGAGAGUGGAAAGUUCACACUGUGACGGUAUCUUACCAGAAAGGGACGGCUAACUACGUG
rnacentral:rRNA from 1 species